GGGUUGUGAGGUUAAGCGAAUAAGCGUACACGGUGGAUGCCUAGGCAGUCAGAGGCGAUGAAGGACGUGCUAAUCUGCGAAAAGCGUCGGUGAGCUGAUAUGAAGCGUGAUAAGCCGGCGAUGUCCGAAUGGGGAAACCCAGUGCAAUGCGUUGCACUAUCGUUUGAUGAAUAGAUAGUCAAACGAGGCGAACCGGGGGAACUGAAACAUCUCAGUACCCCGAGGAAAAGAAAUCAACCGAGAUUCCCCCAGUAGCGGCGAGCGAACGGGGAGGAGCCCAGAGUCUGCAUCAGUGAAAGUGUGAGUGGAAGCGUCUGGAAAGGCGGACAAGAGAGGGUGACAGUCCCGUACACGAACAUGCCUUUACUGUGAGCUCGAUGAGUAGGGCGGGACACGAGAUAUCCUGUCUGAAGAUGGGGGGACCAUCCUCCAAGGCUAAAUACUCCUGACUGACCGAUAGUGAACCAGUACCGUGAGGGAAAGGCGAAAAGAACCCCGGCGAGGGGAGUGAAAGAGAACCUGAAACCGUGUACGUACAAGCAGUGGGAGCCCUGAGCAAUUGGGGUGACUGCGUACCUUUUGUAUAAUGGGUCAGCGACUUAUAUUCUGUAGCAAGGUUAACCGAAUAGGGGAGCCGCAGGGAAACCGAGUCUUAACUGGGCGCAAGAGUUGCAGGGUAUAGACCCGAAACCCGGUGAGCUAGCCAUGGGCAGGUUGAAGGUUGGGUAACACUAACUGGAGGACCGAACCGACUAAUGUUGAAAAAUUAGCGGAUGACUUGUGGCUGGGGGUGAAAGGCCAAUCAAACCGGGAGAUAGCUGGUUCUCCCCGAAAGCUAUUUAGGUAGCGCCUCGUGAGUUCAUCUUCGGGGGUAGAGCACUGUUUCGGCUAGGGGGCCAUCCCGGCUUACCAACCCGAUGCAAACUGCGAAUACCGAAGAAUGUCAUCACGGGAGACACACGGCGGGUGCUAACGUCCGUCGUGAAGAGGGAAACAACCCAGACCGCCAGCUAAGGUCCCGAAGUCAUGGUUAAGUGGGAAACGAUGUGGGAAGGCCCAGACAGCCAGGAUGUUGGCUUAGAAGCAGCCAUCAUUGAAAGAAAGCGUAAUAGCUCACUGGUCGAGUCGGCCUGCGCGGAAGAUGUAACGGGGCUAAACCAUGCACCGAAGCUGCGGCAGCGACAUGUAAGUGUGGCUGGGUAGGGGAGCGUUCUGUAAGCCGUUGAAGGUGGCGCUGUGAGGCCUGCUGGAGGUAUCAGAAGUGCGAAUGCUGACAUAAGUAACGAUAAAGCGGGUGAAAAACCCGCUCGCCGGAAGACCAAGGGUUCCUGUCCAACGUUAAUCGGGGCAGGGUGAGUCGACCCCUAAGGUGAGGCUGAAAAGCGUAGCUGAUGGGAAACAGGUUAAUAUUCCUGUACUGAAUGUGACUGCGAAGGGGGGACGGAGAAGGCUAGGCCAUCCGGGCGACGGUUGUCCCGGUUUAAGCGUGUAGGUGGAGAGAGCAGGAAAAUCCGCUCUUUUAUUCACACUGAGGCGUGAUGACGAGCCGCUACGGCGGUGAAGUGGUUGAUGCCCGGCUUCCAGGAAAAGCCUCUAAGCAUCAGGUCACAUUGAAUCGUACCCCAAACCGACACAGGUGGUCAGGUAGAGAAUACUCAGGCGCUUGAGAGAACUCGGGUGAAGGAACUAGGCAAAAUGGUGCCGUAACUUCGGGAGAAGGCACGCUGGCGUUAGGUGAAGGGCGCACGCCCGGAGCUGAGGCCAGUCGCAGAGACCAGCUGGCUGCAACUGUUUAUUAAAAACACAGCACUGUGCAAACACGAAAGUGGACGUAUACGGUGUGACGCCUGCCCGGUGCUGGAAGGUUAAUUGAUGGGGUUAGCGCGCGAGUGCGAGGCUCUUGAUAGAAGCCCCAGUAAACGGCGGCCGUAACUAUAACGGUCCUAAGGUAGCGAAAUUCCUUGUCGGGUAAGUUCCGACCUGCACGAAUGGCGUAAUGAUGGCCAGGCUGUCUCCACCCGAGACUCAGUGAAAUUGAACUCGCUGUGAAGAUGCAGUGUCCCCGCGGCAAGACGGAAAGACCCCGUGAACCUUUACUAUAGCUUGACACUGAACAUGGAGCCUUGAUGUGUAGGAUAGGUGGGAGGCUUGGAAGUGUGGACGCCAGUCUGCAUGGAGCCAUCCUUGAAAUACCACCCUUGAAUGUUUGAUGUUCUCACUUAGGCCCGUGACCCGGGCUGAGGACAGUGUCUGGUGGGUAGUUUGACUGGGGCGGUCUCCUCCUAAAGCGUAACGGAGGAGCACGAAGGUUAGCUAAUCACGGUCGGACAUCGUGAGGUUAGUGCAAAGGCAUAAGCUAGCUUGACUGCGAGAGUGACGGCUCGAGCAGGUACGAAAGUAGGUCUUAGUGAUCCGGUGGUUCUGUAUGGAAGGGCCAUCGCUCAACGGAUAAAAGGUACUCCGGGGAUAACAGGCUGAUACCGCCCAAGAGUUCAUAUCGACGGCGGUGUUUGGCACCUCGAUGUCGGCUCAUCACAUCCUGGGGCUGAAGUAGGUCCCAAGGGUAUGGCUGUUCGCCAUUUAAAGUGGUACGCGAGCUGGGUUUAGAACGUCGUGAGACAGUUCGGUCCCUAUCUGCCGUGGGCGCAGGAAGAUUGAAAGGGGCUGCUCCUAGUACGAGAGGACCGGAGUGGACGCACCACUGGUGUACGGGUUGUCAUGCCAAUGGCAUCGCCCGGUAGCUAAGUGCGGGAGAGAUAACCGCUGAAAGCAUCUAAGCGGGAAACUUGCCUUGAGAUGAGUCUUCCCUUGACUUUAGGUCACGGAAGGAACGUUUAAGACGAAGACGUGGAUAGGCUGGGUGUGUAAGUGCAGUGAUGCAUUGAGCUGACCAGUACUAAUGAGCCGAGAGGCUUAACCUUACAACGCCAAAGGGGUUUUG
rnacentral:rRNA from 1 species